rnacentral:misc_RNA from 1 species
GAUGAAGAACGUAGCGAAAUGCGAUAAGUAAUGUGAAUUGCAGAAUUCAGUGAAUCAUCGAGUCUUUGAACGCACAUUGCGCCCCCUGGCAUUCCGGGGGGCAUGCCUGUCCGAGCGUCAUUGCUGCCCUCAAGCACGGCUUGUGUGUUGGGCCCCCGUCCCCGGUUUCCCCCGGGGACGGGCCCGAAAGGCAUCGGCGGCACCGCGUCCGGUCCUCGAGCGUAUGGGGCUUUGUCACCCGCUCUGUAGGCCCGGCCGGCGCCAGCCGACACCCAACUUUAUUUCUAAGGUUGACCUCGGAUCAGGUAGGGAUACCCGCUGAACUUAAGCAUAUCAAUAAGCGGAGGA